CACGCUUCUUCUCUUGCACCUUGGAAACCCUACUUUUGAUAUCCAUUAUUUUGGCCGUUUCACUCUGUUUCGCAAAGAAGAGAUCAAUCAUUCAUCACCACAAACCCUAAUCGCAUCAACCAUCACCACACUUCUUUUCUAAAAAACCCUAAAUAUUAAAUUCAUGUUCCUUCUGGUUGAACCACGCAUCAAGUAUCUGUUUAAGCUUUCUCCUUUGAAGUUUUUUUGGCGUUGUUUGUCUUUUCAAUUUGUCUGAGAUGUCACAUGGUGGAGGGGAUGAUGGUUAUCAGGUUGACAUGGAGGACACAUUCAAUCCACUAUCUAAGAUAACGGAGCCGAGUGAAGCAUCUUUGUAGAUUGCAGCCUUGCGAGAACCGGAUAAAGAUGUAUAUGCGGAACCAAUAGUGGGCAUUCAUGAUGUUGACAAGAUUUACCACCUUGCAGUGGUGGAAGAGAUGUUUCUCAUCCUAUAAACAUUGAUCAACCAACCUCCAUGAAGUCUGAAUAAUCUUAAUAAACCAGUAGGUGUGGGCUAUGAAAUUUAGCAUGAAUCGGUUGUGACAGGUUGCGAACCCGUUCUCUUUUACACCAUUCUACUUUUGGUGUAGUGUUUUUUAUGCUUAACACGUGCAUUUGGUCUUUAGAUCUCAUGUGUUCAGUUUUUGUUGUUUAUGUUGGGAGGAAAAGUCAAACUUUGUCAAGACUUAUGUAUGUGCAGAACUGAGAGGUCUUUAUCACAGCAGUAGUUGAAGUUGGAUUAUCCACAUCAAAUCACAUCGUGUGGCUGUUCUUGCAAAUGCAAGGUGGGUGACUUUUGGACUUGAUGUUUGUCUUAGGAAGGAGGUUAGUUUUCAAGUUGGACUGGGUAUUGAUAUCAUGUUUAUGUGUGCGUAUUGAAUAGAGCUAAUAAAAAAAAGCAUUAGUGUCUAAUAGCACUCACACUGGAUCCUUCAUCUCCUUCUCCAUACUUUAAAUUAUGUAGAAGCCAUUGCUAGCCAGUGGUUAUUUGUAACAUCUUAGGGUUACGGCUAGGAUUCCGAAAAAGGGUACGUUUCUCCGGCAACCGGCGUGAGCAACCACAACAAGGGAUAUAGAGAACUUGCGAAUUGGGGUUCCCUCGAAACCAACCGUAUUGGUUACACUACAUUUUCAUCCAUGGCUUACUCAACACUUGAAGAAGUAGAUAUUGCACAAAGGGAUUCUCUCACAUCCAUUGAAUGUUCAUUCAUGAAAUGGCAAUGGUAUCCGCCGUUCGGGAAGCUCGGAAAGAUAAUCUCAGAAAUUUUAGUGACUAUAUGAUGACAGUUUUGGUUUGGGCUGCUGUUGAAAGACGAUAAAAUACCCAACUUUAUGCAAUUUUUGAUGCGUUAAAACGCCGUCCAGAAGUACUUGGUGACGAAUCAAGGAUUUAUAGACCCAAAGAAACUGCCACACCAUUAUCUACUUACUUUUUUCAUGAAUAUUGCCUUCCA